rnacentral:lncRNA from 1 species
UAGAAUCAGAGCAGCCUCUUCCCUCCCUGCCAUACAUUUUUAUUCUUUUCUUUUCCUCUUGAUUUUUAACUGCCAUCUGAAAUUAUUUUAUCUGUGAGGGCAGAGACUCUGUCUCAGUUAUUCACUGUAUCCCAGCAUAUACAAUAUUACCUGGAACAGUCUAGUCUCCUUAAAAAAAUAUGGAUAGACUGAAUGAAUUAACAUACUUUAAUAUAUUUACAUUAAAAAGAGUUAAAGGUUAUUUUUAAAUUAUAGUGUAAAGAUGUUGGUAUAUAUGAGUUAAAACUUCGGUUAUUUCUGAUGGCCAUUUCAAGACAACACAGACUGGGUAGUUCAUAAGCAAUAGAAAUGAUAAAGCUGCCCCUCGUGCUGGGUGGCAGCAUGUCUGGAUCCUGGUGAGAGCCCUCUUCCUAAUUGCAUACUGCUGACUGCAUAUAUCCUCAUGCGGAGGCGGAAAGAGAGUUAGAGAGCUCUCUGGUAUCUCUUUUAUAAGGGUGUUAAUUCUGUUCAUGAGAUCUCCACUCUCAUGACUGAAUUCACUCCCAAAAGCCCAGCUCCUAAUGAUCAGUAACUUCUCACAGCUAUUGGCUUGUGUGUUACUGACACAAACCCUUUCAGCCUACCCAGUGGCUUGCUGAUUGUUGCUGGACAAGUCAGUGUUUUUAGUUAGGCUCUCAGAACAAAACAUUCCCUCCAUCAUUCUGGAUGGC